GAUGAACGCUGGCGGCGUGCCUAAUACAUGCAAGUCGAGCGAACGGACGAGAAUCUUGCUGCUCUGAUGUUAGCGGCGGACGGGUGAGUAACACGUGGAUAACCUACCUAUAAGACUGGGAUAACUUCGGGAAACCGUAGCUAAUACCGGAUAAUAUUUUGAACCGCAGGGUUCAAAAGGGAAAGACGGUCUUGCUGUCACUGAUAGAUGGAGCCGCGCUGCAUUAGCUAGUUGUUAAGGUAACGGCAUACUAAGGCAACGAUGGAUAGCCGACCUGAGAGGGUGAUCGGCCACACUGGAACUGAGACACGGUCCAGACUCCUACGGGAGGCAGCAGUAGGGAAUCUUACGCAAUGGGCGAAAGCCUGACGGAGCAACGCCGCGGGAGUGAUGAAGGUCUUCGGAUCGUAAAACUCUGUUAUUAGGGAAGAACAUAUGUGUAAGUAACUGUGCACAUCUUGACGGUACCUAAUCAGAAAGCCACGGCUAACUACGUG
rnacentral:rRNA from 1 species